ACUCAGCCCACUCGCACCCGGGUGAAUAAGCAGCCUUGUUGCUCACACAGCCUGUUCAGGUUGUCUCUCUAAUUAGACGCUCGCAUAACAUUUGGUGCUGAAAGCCUGGGAUAGGGGAACUCCUCCUGGAGACCUCUCCCCUAUCCUCCCCGUGCCCACGUUCUCCUGUGCAAGAGACUUCCCUCGACCUCAGGACCUCAGAGCAGCCCCGCGAGCACUCCGGCCUCUGUCUGUGCAUCGGAAACCCAACAUUGGUCACGGACUCUUCUUAGGAAGACAGUCUUCCCUCAGUGUUAGGUCAAUGCCAGGGACGCCUGCCUUGACCAUUUGCCAGUCACACAACCCGGGACCUCCACUGGGGAUGCCCACCGAGGAUCCUAGUGGUUGCUGUUUUCCUUGUCUCUUUCUUUCCCCCAAAACUUCCCUUGUUCUAUCAUGGGCAAUCUCCCGCCCUCCAUCCCUCCUUCCUCCCCUCUGGCUUGUGUCCUCAAAAACCUCAAACCUCUUCAGCUUGCGCCCAAUCUAAAGGCUAAACAUCUAUUUUUUUUUUUUCUGUAACGUGUCCUGGCCCCAAUAUAAAUUAGACAAUGGCUCUCAGUGGCCAGAAAACAGCACUUUCAAUUUCUCUAUUUUGUGGGACUUAGAUAACUUCUAUGGCAAAAUAGGCAAAUGAUCUGAUGUACCCUACAUCCAGGCAUUUUUUUACGCUACGACCUCUCCCCAGCCUAUGCUCCCAAUGUAAUCCAUCCCAAAUUUUCCUUAUUUCUUUUCCGUCUAUGCCUCCUUCUUCCACUGGCGUUGCUGACUCCUCUUUGUCUGUUGACCCUUCCGAUCUUUCUCCCCACCACCACCUAUCCGAACCUGCUCCCAAUUCUCCCCCAGAACCUAUUUCUACACAGAACCCACCACCUUAUGUCCCUCCCAUUACCACCGUUCCUCACAUCCAGUGUGGCUUACAAUUUGGGCCUGUGGCCAACCCCCAGGCCCCUGCCUAGCAAUUUCCCCUUCCAGAGGUGGCAGGAACCGAAGGAAUAGUUCGAGUUCAGGUCCCUUUCUCCCUGUUCGACCUUUCCCAAAUUAGCCAACAUCUAGGCUCUUUCCCAUCUGACCCCUCCAAAUGUAUACAAGAAUUCCAAUACUUAACCCAGUCCUAUAAUCUUACUUGGAUUGACUUAAACGUCAUCCUCACCUCUACUGUCACUCCUGAGGAGCAAGAGCGGGUUUGCACCCUAGCUCAGUCUAAUGCUGAUAACCGCCAGUGCCUUGAGCCUGGCCUCCAAGAAGAUUCUAGGGCAGUACCUCCUGAAGACCCCGGAUGGACUUACCAGGCCCAAGACCACGGCAUAGCCAGCCGGGACUACACGAUCUCUUGCCUACUUCAAGGACUUCAGAAGGCUGCAUGUAAAGCCGUCAAUUAUGACAAACUAAAA